rnacentral:rRNA from 1 species
AAAAGCAAGAACAAACAACUGUAUGCAUCAGAUACCAUUAGAACUCCGAAGUUAAGCGAGUUUAGGCGAGAGUAGUACUAGGAUAGGUGACCUCCUGAGAAGUCCUCGUGUUGCAUCCU